AUUGAACGCUGGCGGCAGGCCUAACACAUGCAAGUCGAGCGGCAGCGGAAAGUAGCUUGCUACUUUGCCGGCGAGCGGCGGACGGGUGAGUAAUGUCUGGGAAACUGCCUGAUGGAGGGGGAUAACUACUGGAAACGGUAGCUAAUACCGCAUAACGUCGCAAGACCAAAGAGGGGGACAUUCGGGCCUCUUGCCAUCAGAUGUGCCCAGAUGGGAUUAGCUAGUAGGUGGGGUAACGGCUCACCUAGGCGACGAUCCCUAGCUGGUCUGAGAGGAUGACCAGCCACACUGGAACUGAGACACGGUCCAGACUCCUACGGGAGGCAGCAGUGGGGAAUAUUGCACAAUGGGCGCAAGCCUGAUGCAGCCAUGCCGCGUGUAUGAAGAAGGCCUUCGGGUUGUAAAGUACUUUCAGCGGGGAGGAGGGUGUUGAGGUUAAUAGCCUCAGCAAUUGACGUUACCCGCAGAAGAAGCACCGGCUAACUCCGUGCCAGCCGCCGCCGUAACAC
rnacentral:rRNA from 1 species